rnacentral:rRNA from 1 species
UACGAAGGGGGCUAGCGUUGCUCGGAAUCACUGGGCGUAAAGCGCACGUAGGCGGACUGUUAAGUCAGGGGUGAAAUCCUGGAGCUCAACUCCAGAACUGCCUUUGAUACUGGCGAUCUUGAGUCCGGGAGAGGUGAGUGGAACUGCGAGUGUAGAGGUGAAAUUCGUAGAUAUUCGCAAGAACACCAGUGGCGAAGGCGGCUCACUGGCCCGGUACUGACGCUGAGGUGCGAAAGCGUGGGGAGCAAACAGG